GGCGCACGGGUGCGGAACACGUGUGCAACCUGCCUUUAUCUGGGGGAUAGCCUUUCGAAAGGAAGAUUAAUACCCCAUAAUAUAUUGAGUGGCAUCACUUGAUAUUGAAAACUCCGGUGGAUAGAGAUGGGCACGCGCAAGAUUAGAUAGUUGGUGAGGUAACGGCUCACCAAGUCAAUGAUCUUUAGGGGGCCUGAGAGGGUGAUCCCCCACACUGGUACUGAGACACGGACCAGACUCCUACGGGGGGCAGCAGUGAGGAAUAUUGGACAAUGGGUGAGAGCCUGAUCCAGCCAUCCCGCGUGAAGGACGACUGCCCUAUGGGUUGUAAACUUCUUUUAUACUGGGAUAAACCUACCCUUCGUGAGGGUAGCUGAAGGUACAGUAUGAAUAAGCACCGGCUAACUCCGUGCCAGCAGCCGCGGUAAUACGGAGGGUGCAAGCGUUAUCCGGAUUUAUUGGGUUUAAAGGGUCCGUAGGCGGACUCGUAAGUCAGUGGUGAAAUCUCAUAGCUUAACUAUGAAACUGCCAUUGAUACUGCGGGUCUUGAGUAAAGUAGAAGUGGCUGGAAUAAGUAGUGUAGCGGUGAAAUGCAUAGAUAUUACUUAGAACACCAAUUGCGAAGGCAGGUCACUAUGUUUUAACUGACGCUGAUGGACGAAAGCGUGGGGAGCGAACAGGAUUAGAUACCCUGGUAGUCCACGCCGUAAACGAUGCUAACUCGUUUUUGGGUUUUCGGAUUCAGAGACUAAGCGAAAGUGAUAAGUUAGCCACCUGGGGAGUACGUUCGCAAGAAUGAAACUCAAAGGAAUUGACGGGGGCCCGCACAAGCGGUGGAUUAUGUGGUUUAAUUCGAUGAUACGCGAGGAACCUUACCAAGGCUUAAAUGGGAAUUGACAGGUUUAGAAAUAGAUCCUUCUUCGGACAAUUUUCAAGGUGCUGCAUGGUUGUCGUCAGCUCGUGCCGUGAGGUGUUAGGUUAAGUCCUGCAACGAGCGCAACCCCUGUCACUAGUUGCCAUCAUUCAGUUGGGGACUCUAGUGAGACUGCCUACGCAAGUAGAGAGGAAGGUGGGGAUGACGUCAAAUCAUCACGGCCCUUACGCCUUGGGCCACACACGUAAUACAAUGGCCGGUACAGAGGGCAGCUACUAUGCGAAUAGAUGCGAAUCUCGAAAGCCGGUCUCAGUUCGGAUUGGAGUCUGC
rnacentral:rRNA from 1 species